rnacentral:rRNA from 1 species
GAUCCUGCGUCUAGGAUGAACGCUAGCUACAGGCUUAACACAUGCAAGUCGAGGGGCAGCGGGAUUGAAGCUUGCUUCAAUUGCCGGCGACCGGCGCACGGGUGAGUAACGCGUAUCCAACCUUCCGCUUACUCGGGGAUAGCCUUUCGAAAGAAAGAUUAAUACCCGAUGGUAUCUUAAGCACGCAUGAGAUUAAGAUUAAAGAUUUAUCGGUAAGCGAUGGGGAUGCGUUCCAUUAGGCAG